rnacentral:rRNA from 1 species
UACGAUACGAGUUUGAUCAUGGCUCAGGAUGAACGCUAGCGGCAGGUUUAAUACAUGCAAGUCGAGGGGCAGCACGAAUAGUAAUAUUUGGUGGCGACCGGCGCACGGGUGCGUAACACGUAUGCAACCUACCUUAAACUGGAGCAUAACGCUGAGAAAUCGGUGCUAAUUCUCCAUAACAUUAUGAAGUGGCAUCACUUUAUUAUUAAAGAAUUUCGGUUUAAGAUGGGCAUGCGGGACAUUAGCUAGUUGGUAAGGUAACGGCUUACCAAGGCGACGAUGUCUAGGGGUUCUGAGAGGAUUAUCCCCCACACUGGUACUGAGACACGGACCAGACUCCUACGGGAGGCAGCAGUAGGGAAUAUUGGUCAAUGGACGCAAGUCUGAACCAGCCAUGCCGCGUGAAGGAUGAAGGCCCUAUGGGUCGUAAACUUCUUUUAUACGGGAAAAAACCUCGAUACGUGUAUCGAGUUGAUGGUACUGUAAGAAUAAGGAUCGGCUAACUCCGUG